rnacentral:rRNA from 1 species
UCGAGCGGAACGAGUUAUCUGAACCUUCGGGGAACGAUAACGGCGUCGAGCGGCGACGGGUGAGUAAUGCCUAGGAAAUUGCCCUGAUGUGGGGGAUAACCAUUGGAAACGAUGGCUAAUACCAUGAUGCCUACGGGCCAAAGAGGGGGACCUUCGGGCCUCUCGCGUCAGGAUAUGCCUAGGUGGGAUUAGUAGUUGGUGAGGUAAGGGCUCACCAAGGCGACGAUCCCUAGCUGGUCUGAGAGGAUGAUCAGCCACACGGAACUGAGACACGGUCCAGACUCCUACGGGAGGCAGCAGUGGGGAAUAUUGCACAAUGGGCGCAAGCCGAUGCAGCCAUGCCGCGUGUAUGAAGAAGGCCUUCGGGUUGUAAAGCACUUUCAGUCGUGAGGAAGGUGGAGUGUUAAUAGCACUAUCAUUUGACGUUAGCGACAGAAGAAGCACCGGCUAACUCCGUGCCAGCAGCCGCGGUAAUACGGAGGGUGCGAGCGUUAAUCGGAAUUACUGGGCGUAAAGCGCAUGCAGGUGGUUUGUUUAAUCAGAUGUGAAAGCCCGGGGCUCAACCUCGGAAUUGCAUUUGAAACUG